rnacentral:rRNA from 1 species
AAUCAACCGAGAUUCCCCCAGUAGCGGCGAGCGAACGGGGAGCAGCCCAGAGUCUGAAUCAGCUUGUGUGUUAGUGGAACGGUCUGGAAAGUCCGACGGUACAGGGUGAUAGUCCCGUACACCAAAAUGCACAGGUUGUGAACUCGAAGAGUAGGGCGGGACACGUGGUAUCCUGUCUGAAUAUGGGGGGACCAUCCUCCAAGGCUAAAUACUCCUGACUGACCGAUAGUGAACCAGUACCGUGAGGGAAAGGCGAAAAGAACCCCGGCGAGGGGAGUGAAAAAGAACCUGAAACCGUGUACGUACAAGCAGUGGGAGCACCUUCGGGUGUGACUGCGUACCUUUUGUAUAAUGGGUCAGCGACUUAUAUUCUGUAGCAAGGUUAACCGUAUAGGGGAGCCGCAGGGAAACCGAGUCUUAACUGGGCGUUAAGUUGCAGGGUAUAGACCCGAAACCCGGUGAUCUAGCCAUGGGCAGGUUGAAGGUUGGGUAACACUAACUGGAGGACCGAACCGACUAAUGUUGAAAAAUUAGCGGAUGACUUGUGGCUGGGGGUGAAAGGCCAAUCAAACCGGGAGAUAGCUGGUUCUCCCCGAAAGCUAUUUAGGUAGCGCCUCGUGAAYUCAUCUUCGGGGGUAGAGCACUGUUUCGGCUAGGGGGUCAUCCCGACUUACCAACCCGAUGCAAACUACGAAUACCGAAGAAUGUUAUCACGGGAGACACACGGCGGGUGCUAACGUCCGUCGUGAAGAGGGAAACAACCCAGACCGCCAGCUAAGGUCCCAAAGUCAUGGUUAAGUGGGAAACGAUGUGGGAAGGCACAGACAGCCAGGAUGUUGGCUUAGAAGCAGCCAUCAUUUAAAGAAAGCGUAAUAGCUCACUGGUCGAGUCGGCCUGCGCGGAAGAUGUAACGGGGCUAAACCAUGCACCGAAGCUGCGGCAGCGACACUAUGUGUUGUUGGGUAGGGGAGCGUUCUGUAAGCCUGCGAAGGUGWSCUGUGAGGSWUGCUGGAGGUAUCAGAAGUGCGAAUGCUGACAUAAGUAACGAUAAAGCGGGUGAAAAGCCCGCUCGCCGGAAGACCAAGGGUUCCUGUCCAACGUUAAUCGGGGCAGGGUGAGUCGACCCCUAAGGCGAGGCCGAAAGGCGUAGUCGAUGGGAAACAGGUUAAUAUUCCUGUACUUGGUGUUACUGCGAAGGGGGGACGGAGAAGGCUAUGUUAGCCGGGCGACGGUUGUCCCGGUUUAAGCAUGUAGGCUGGUURUCCAGGCAAAUCCGGAUAAUCAAGGCUGAGGUGUGAUGACGAGGCACUACGGUGCUGAAGUAACAAAUGCCCUGCUUCCAGGAAAAGCCUCUAAGCAUCAGGUAACAUCAAAUCGUACCCCAAACCGACACAGGUGGUCAGGUAGAGAAUACCAAGGCGCUUGAGAGAACUCGGGUGAAGGAACUAGGCAAAAUGGUGCCGUAACUUCGGGAGAAGGCACGCUGGUGUGUAGGUGAAGYCCCUGCGGRUGGAGCUGAGACCAGUCGAAGAUACCAGCUGGCUGCAACUGUUUAUUAAAAACACAGCACUGUGCAAACACGAAAGUGGACGUAUACGGUGUGACGCCUGCCCGGUGCCGGAAGGUUAAUUGAUGGGGUUAUCCGUAAGGAGAAGCUCUUGAUCGAAGCCCCGGUAAACGGCGGCCGUAACUAUAACGGUCCUAAGGUAGCGAAAUUCCUUGUCGGGUAAGUUCCGACCUGCACGAAUGGCGUAAUGAUGGCCAGGCUGUCUCCACCCGAGACUCAGUGAAAUUGAACUCGCUGUGAAGAUGCAGUGUACCCGCGGCAAGACGGAAAGACCCCGUGAACCUUUACUAUAGCUUGACACUGAACAUUGAGCCUUGAUGUGUAGGAUAGGUGGGAGGCUUUGAAGCGUGGACGCCAGUCUGCGUGGAGCCAACCUUGAAAUACCACCCUUUAAUGUUUGAUGUUCUAACGUUGGCCCCUKACCGGGGUUGCGGACAGUGUCUGGUGGGUAGUUUGACUGGGGCGGUCUCCUCCCAAAGCGUAACGGAGGAGCACGAAGGUUAGCUAAUCCUGGUCGGACAUCAGGAGGUUAGUGCAAUGGCAUAAGCUAGCUUGACUGCGAGCGUGACGGCGCGAGCAGGUGCGAAAGCAGGUCAUAGUGAUCCGGUGGUUCUGAAUGGAAGGGCCAUCGCUCAACGGAUAAAAGGUACUCCGGGGAUAACAGGCUGAUACCGCCCAAGAGUUCAUAUCGACGGCGGUGUUUGGCACCUCGAUGUCGGCUCAUCACAUCCUGGGGCUGAAGUAGGUCCCAAGGGUAUGGCUGUUCGCCAUUUAAAGUGGUACGCGAGCUGGGUUUAGAACGUCGUGAGACAGUUCGGUCCCUAUCUGCCGUGGGCGCUGGAGAAUUGAGGGGGGCUGCUCCUAGUACGAGAGGACCGGAGUGGACGCAUCACUGGUGUUCGGGUUGUCAUGCCAAUGGCACUGCCCGGUAGCUAA